AAUCUCUUUAGUUUAGUAUUUCUUUUAAUUGUAUUAGAGAUAUGUACAAUGUGUUAGGCAUGUGGUACAUUUAGACCUAUAUAUAGGCAUGCUAACACAUCUUGUAAUUACUUUUGAGCUAAUGAGAAUUUGGUUUUCUAAUUCAGAAAAUAAUUCUCCCUUGAAAGUCAAUGGCUAGAGAGUCCAAAGACUUCCUCUAGCCACCUUCCAGCACACUACCUCCAUUUUCUAUUUUUCAUUUUCCCUUAAAUUCCAAGUGCUUCUCUCAUCCACCGUGGACCAUUGCCACGUUGACACCUCUUCAGUGCAUGAGUUAACUCUCCAUUUGCUUCUUCAAUACGCAUUAGAAGCUCAAUCCAUUCAUUUCUCCAAAAUCACUCCCAGCGUCUGCUUCUCUCGAGAGUCGUCUCUCUCUCGCACUCACCUUCAUCUCAAACCAUUAGCCAAAACUCAGAUCCAUCACUGUCGUCCCGAUCUCACCGGUAAAAGUCUCUUCCCUCACCGAUCUUCAGCUCCUACACCGAAAACCUCCAAAACUUAGGGUUUCUUCCCUCUUUUGGAAUUUCCUUCCAUUUUGACCGGUUAAAUCCUUCUUUGCUUCGAUCUAGUUCAUUUCCACCGAUUAAAACACCAUUCCCACCGUUUAAUCGGUCCAAAUUGAGUUUUCCCCUUCUUCUAGGGUUUUGUCGGUCUAGGUCUUGGUUCUCUGAGUUCCUUUCUCAGAUUCAGUCUGUUCUUCUCAGAUUUGGUUUGAUCUCUUUUGGUUUCUCUCUUGAUCUAUCAAUUCCGCUGCG
rnacentral:lncRNA from 1 species